AAAACAGAAUUGAUAUUGCUUUUGAGAUGACUCAUCGUCAAAGAUUGUAAGCAGUGGAGUUCAAUGUAAUGAACAUUGGUGCGCUACAAAUGCAAAAGAAGUGUGUUAAAAGAAGUAAAAUCAAUGGACUCUGGCUGCAAAUGGAGUAAUUGGGAAAAAAUUGCACGUUAUGUCAGCAGAUAAUGGACAACAAACAUGAUGGCGAUACAAGUGAAAUUGAAGG